rnacentral:rRNA from 1 species
AGGGAAUAGAUACCCUGGUAGUCCACGCAGUAAACGAUGCACACUAGGUGUGGGGGGUAUCGAGCCCUCCGUGCCGUAGCCAAACGCAGUAAGUGUGCCACCUGGGGAGUACGGCCGCAAGGUUAAAACUCAAAGGAAUUGACGGGGGCCCGGCACAAGCAGCGGAGCGUGUGGUUUAAAUUCGAUGCAACGCGAAGAACCUUACCCAGACUUGACAUGGCCUCGCAAGCCGGGGAAACCCGGCCCUCUUCGGACGGGGUCACAGAUGUUGCAUGGCUGUCGUCAGCUCGUGUCGUGAGAUGUUGGGUUAAGUCCCGCAACGAGCGCAACCCUCGUGAACUGUUGCCAAUCAGUUCAGACUGCCGGUACAAGCCGGAGGAAGGUGGGAUGACGUCAAGUCCGCAUGGCUCUUACGUCUGGGGCUACACACACGCUACAAUGGCCGGGUACAGAGCGCCGCCACGGGGGUCGACCCGGGUAGCGAAUCGCAAAACCCGGGUCUCAGUUCGGAUGGCAGGCUGCAACCCG